UAAUAGUAAGCAUAAUCGGCACAGCCCAAAACGUCAGGUCGAGGUGUAGUGCAUGGGAGGGGAAGAAAUGGGCUACAUUCGCUGCCUUACAGCGAACACGAAUGAUGCAUUGAAACAUGCAACUGAAGGAGGAUUUAGCAGUAAGCAGAAAGUAGAGUGUUCCGCUGAAGCCGGCUCUUAAGCGCGCACACACCGCCCGUCACCCUCCCCAAGCAACUGGACCCGAAUUUUUCCUAAGCCCAAACAACCGCAAAGGAGAGGAAAGUCGUAACAUGGUAAGCGUACCGGAAGGUGCGCUUGGUUAAAU
rnacentral:rRNA from 1 species